rnacentral:lncRNA from 1 species
UUGUCAUAUAUGACGCAAAACUGGUAGUUGGAUAAGUUGUCGUCGUAUAUGGCGCUAAAGUGGUAGUUCGCUCAGGAGUUGUUUUAUCUGAUGCGAAACUGGUAAUUGGUUUGGGAGUUGUCGUAUCUGAUGAUAAGCUGGUAGUUGGGUUGGGAGUUGUAUACAACGCAAAACUGGUAGUUAGGUUGGGAGUUGUCGUAUCUGGUGCUAAACUGGUAGAUGGGUUGGGAGUUAUCGUAUCUUGUGUAAAGUUGGUAGUUGGGUUGUGAGUUGCCAUAUACAACGCAAAACUGGUAGUUAGGUUGGGAGUUGCUUUAUCUGGUGAUAAACUGGUAGUUGGGUUGGGAGUUAUCGUAUCUGGUGAUAAACUGGUAGUUGGCUCUGAAGAUGUUUUAUCUUGUGUAAAGUCUGGUAGCUCGGGUUGUGAGGUUGUCGUACAUACAAUGCAGAACUGGUAGUUAGGUUGGGAGUUGCUGUAUCUGGUGUGAAGCUGGUAGUUGGGUUGGGAGUUGUCGUAUCUGGUGAUAAACUGGUAGUUGGGUUGGGAGUUAUCGUAUCUGGUGAUAAACUGGUAGUUGGGUUGGGAGUUGCUUUAUCUGGUGUGAAGCUGGUAGUUGGGUUGGGAGUUGUCGUAUCUGGUGAUAAACUGGUAGUUGGCUCGGGAGUUGCAUUAUCUGAUGCGAAACUGGAAGUUGAAUCAGGAGUUGUCAUAUAUGGUGCAAAACUGGUAGUUCGCUCAGGAAUUGUUUUAUCUUGCACAAAACUGGUAGUUGGGUUGGGAGUUGUUGCUUUUGGUGCUAAACUGAUAGUUGGCUUAGGAGUUGUUUUAUCUGAUGCUAAACUGGUAGUUGGGUUGUGGGUUGUUAUAUACGAUGCAAAACUGGUAGUUGGGUUGGGAGUUGCUUUAUCUGGUGUGAAGCUGGUAGUUGGGUUGGGAGUUGUCGUAUCUGGUGAUAAACUGGUAGUUGGCUCGGGAUUUGUGUUAUCUGAUGCGAAACUGGAAGUUGAAUCAGGGGUUGCUUUAUCUGGUGUAAAGCUGGUAGUUGGGUUGGGAUUUGUCGUAUCUAAUGUGAAACCAGUAGUUAACACGGAAGUUGACAUACCUGCCACGAAACUGGUAGUUAAGUUGGGAGUUGCUUUAUCUGGUGUGAAGCUGGUAGUUGGGUUGGGAGUUGUCGUAUCUGGUGAUAAACUGGUAGUUGGGUUAGGACUUGCCAUAUCUGAUGAUAAAUGGGUGGUUGGGUUGGGAGUUGUCGUAUCUGGUGAUGCACUGGUAGUUGGCUCGGGAGUUGCAUUAUCUGAUGCGAAACUGGAAGUUGAAUCAGGAGUUGUCAUAUAUGGUGCAAAACUGGUAGUUCGCUCAGGAAUUGUUUUAUCUUGCACAAAACUGGUAGUUGGGUUGGGAGUUGUUGCUUUUGGUGCUAAACUGAUAGUUGGCUUAGGAGUUGUUUUAUCUGAUGCUAAACUGGUAGAUGGGUCGGGAUUUGUCGUAUCUAAUGCAAAACUAGUAGUUAACACGGGAGUUGACAUACCUGCCGCAAAACUGGUAGUUAAGUUGGGGGUUGUUUUGUCUGGUGUGAAACUGUUAGUUGGGUUGGGAGAAGCCGUAUAUGAUGCAAAACUGGUAGUUGGAUUGUGAGAUGUAGUGUGUGACAGUGGUGUAAUGGUGGUUGAUCUUCCAUCAACACAGGUCACGCACAUCCAUUUGCCAUCUUUAAAAUGCAGAACAUAUCUGCUUCCUUCUUUCCCUUCAACAAAGAAAUAAACAAUGGAUGCAUUUUAUUGCAGUUGUGCAAUAUCUGAAACUAUUAUAUUUGGUAUGUUACAUGACAUAUAUAUGAUAUGUUGGUUAUUUGUCAACCAAGCAACACUGUAAUUUCAACAUUAUAGAUGCAUUUUCAUCAGUUCACACAUUUAUUAUUGAUAGAGUCCAAUCAUAUUAUUGCCAUAAUUUAAAACAAUAAACAGUGUCAACUUAUGGUGAAUGAAUU